UCAGCAAAAAGAGGAGGAUUGGCGGUGGAUGUUAGCUCAGGGCUAAUCUUCCUCAAAAAGAAAAAAAAUUAGAUUCGUGAGUACUACUUUAUCUCAGUAGUAAAAGAUUCUGAAGUUACUUACACAAAUAUAUUUUUGCCAAGAGCAUAGGAAAGUUAAUUCAACAAUUGUCUAUUCUUACGAUUCUUACGAGUAUGGUUUGCAGUCUUAAUGUAGUAGAGGGUAAGUGUCCUCACAAGACAGUCUCUCUAUCGUAUCUUGGAAGUAUACUUAUACUACAGAUUUCAGCUGGCUUAGAACCCUGCAAACAGUCCACCGUCAGCCUCUUUAGGGCAGGAACUGGGUCUGCUUUGCAUGCUAUUGUAGCCUCAGUAUUUCGCUCGGUGCUGGCCCAAGAUGGAGCUCUGUAGAUAUUUGCCUUCAUUUAUUGUUGAUGCUCUAACACAUGACCUCAAACUUGGUGGCUUAAAUAAUACAACUGUAUUAUCUUAGAGUCCUGUAGGUCGGCAGUCCCACAGGAGUCUUAUUGGUCUAAAAUCAAGGUCUCAGCAGGGCUGUGUCGCUUCUGGUGGCUUUAGAAUCUGACCACUUGCCUUUCCUGAUUGUAGUGGCUGCUGCGUCCCUUGGUUUGUGGCCCCUUCUUCCAUCUUUAAAGCCAGCAAUAGCAGGUAGAGUCCUUCUUAUGUUGCUGUCUCUCUGUGACCGGGAAGGUUCUGUGCUUUUAAGGAUUCAUGUGAUCAGAUCAGGUCCACCUGGAUUAUCCAAGAAAGUCUGCCCAGCUCGAGGUCCUUGAUCUUCAUCAUAUCUGCAAAGACUCUUUGCCAAGUAAAAUAUUCACGUUCCAAGGGUUAGGGCAGGGACAUCUUUGGGAACCUACCACAAUCUUUAUCAACUCCCUAAGAACCCCUUGCCUUGGUGAGUCUGGCUCCCUCUUCCUCUGUGUACAUCUGACGCUGUUCAUUAUCACUCGUCUACCAUUAGGGGUCAUUGUCACUAAUGAUGGGGGAGAAUCUUCCAAGUGCCAGAGUUCAAGGUGGCCUGUGGCAACAAAACGAGAGAGAAGUGGAGGAAGGAGAGAACGCCCCGUCUCCCCAUCUCGAGCCACACUUGGUGAGAGGCAUACCAAAGUUGUGUUGCUGGUACCCGCUGUAUAGGGCUCUAGUGAAUGGUGUUGUCAAUAUUUAUUUACGGCCCUGUAGACCCUGGCAUCAGUCUGUGGGACUGGAUCAGGAUCAGAAGCAAGUUAGAAACAUGAAAAGUACUGUCAAGCUUAAUAAAUGGAUUCGCUGAUUGUGUUUGAUUCACCCUGUCCUGAAAAUAUGAUUCUUUUCUUUAUUUCCUAGACAAAUAGAUUUUUGGUGGUGUUUGGACGUCUGUAUCCCAGCCCUAGACUCCCAAGUGAACCCGCUCACCUUGGGGCAUUUGGUUGCAGAUAACAAGUGACAAAUUUUGUUAUUUGGUACCAGAAGCAAGUAUAAUGGCGAAAGCAAGGAAUGACAGUUUAUUCGUCCUUUCAAAAAUAUUUAUUGGGUGUAUGUUGAGUUCUAAGUUCUAUUUUAGGUACUGAGGAUAUAAAAAUGAGAAGAAACAAAAAGACAGUUUGACAAACAGCCUGACUUAUUGAAAAGAAAUAAAAUCUACAAAAAGCCAAUAGCAGAAUUCCAAGACCAUAGCCAUCAGACAAGGACGAUGAGGAGAUUGAGAAAAGUUGACAGAAAGGUGAAGUGUCAUGCCCAAAAGUCGCAGAUGGGAAGUGAAGAGCCAGGAUUUGAACCCAAAGCUUCUGGGACUAGAGUCUGCACCCCUACCCACCACGAAACACUCUAAGGAAGUGUGUAAUAUGUUUCAGAAAGUGUCUCAUAAAAUGGUUAGACUAAAAAGAAA